rnacentral:rRNA from 1 species
GGCUGGAGAUGUGGGUAGUCCCGCACGAGCGCAACCCUNUCCUUAGUUGCCAGCACUCAGUUGGGCACUCUAAGGAGACUGCCGGUGUUAAACCGGAGGAAGGUGGGGAUGACGUCAAGUCCUCAUGGCCCUUAUGUCCAGGCUACACACGUGCUACAAUGGCCGGUACAAAGGGUAGCGAGACCGCAAGGUUGAGCGAAUCCCAAAAAGCUGGUCUCAGUUCGGAUUGGAGUCUGCAACUCGACUCCAUGAAGUUGGGAUCGCUAGUAAUCGCGGAUCAGCAUGCCGCGGUGAAUACGUUCCCGGGCCUU